GAUGAACGCUGGCGGCGUGCCUAAUACAUGCAAGUCGAGCGAACAGACGAGGCGCUUGCUCCUCUGACGUUAGCGGCGGACGGGUGAGUAACACGUGGAUAACCUACAUAUAAGACUGGGAUAACUACGGGAACCCGGAGCUAACACCGGAUAAUAUAUUGAACCGCAUGGUUCAAUAGAGAAAGACGGUUUUGCUGUCACUUAUAGAUGGAUCCGCGCCGCAUUAGCUAGUUGGUAAGGUAACGGCUUACCAAGGCGACGAUGCGUAGCCGACCUGAGAGGAUGAUCGGCCACACUGGAACUGAGACACGGUCCAGACUCCUACGGGAGGCAGCAGUAGGGAAUCUUCCGCAAUGGGCGAAAGCCUGACGGAGCAACGCCGCGUGAGUGAUGAAGGUCUUCGGAUCGUAAAGCUCUGUUAGUAGGGAAGAACAAAUGUGUAAGUAACUAUGGACGUCUUGACGGUACCUAAUCAAAAAGCCACGGCUAACUACGUG
rnacentral:rRNA from 1 species